CCUGCAGAGAUGCGGGAGUGCCGAAAGGGAAUCGGAACACAGGUGCUGCAUGGCUGUCGUCAGCUCGUGUCGUGAGAUGCUGGGUUAAGUCCCGCAACGAGCGCAACCCUUAUCAUUAGUUGCUACGCAAGGGCACUCUAAUGAGACUGCCGGUGACAAACCGGAGGAAGUGGGGAUGACGUCAAGUCCUCAUGGCCCUUAUGGGUAGGGCUUCACACGUCAUACAAUGGUCGGUACAGAGGGUUGCCAAGCCGCGAGGUGGAGCCAAUCCCAGAAAGCCGAUCGUAGUCCGGAUUGUUCUCUGCAACUCGAGAGCAUGAAGUCGGAAUCGCUAGUAAUCGCGGAUCAGCAUGCCGCGGUGAAUACGUUCCCGGGCCUU
rnacentral:rRNA from 1 species